rnacentral:lncRNA from 1 species
GGUCAACCCAUAAAAGAGAAGAAUCCUAGUGCAAGUAGGAUUUCUCUUAUUUCAUCCAAAAUAAAUUUGAUUCGAAUCCAAUUCAAAGCUGGUUCGAAAUAAUUUCGAAAAGCUGUUAAUCUCAAACUCUUUAGGACUUUUGUACCAAAUCUAUCUUAGAUUUUGGAUCUAAUUAAAUCUAAUUAAUUCAGAUCUAAUCUAAAAUUAAUUAGUACUUAAAUUUAAUCUUUCAUAUGCUCCAU